AAACCGUGACGCGAGGCGCACUACAACAGAAUUAGGUUAUAGGGACAUAUUUGGGACACUUUUGUGUAAGUGUCCUAUUUAUGCCAAAACUAAAAAAAAAAUCUACUAAUGCCUAAAUAUAAAGUUCAAUCCAAUCAAAAAUAAAAGGUUACUCUACUCAACGCACCCUACCCAGCCCAUUCGGCCCGAUUACAAACAGGAAAGAAAAAGAAAAGAAAAUUAGAUUAUCAUUUCUCUUUCUCUCCUCACUCAAUCGACUGAAAUCCUAGACGAAAAUCCCUUCCUCUCGUCCUCCUCCGCCACCGCAGCCAACGAGGUAGAGUUCCGGCGGCUGCUAAAUGCUUAAAUAAAUAUUGAUAAAUUAGCAGCACUUUUUUAGGUUAUAGCGACACUCUUUAACUGUCACUAUAUACCUAGCGACCCCAUAUAUAGCAGCACUUUUUAAAAGUGUCGGUAAUUUAGCCAGCAGUACUUUUUUUAACCUGUACUGAUAUUUAAAAGUGUCGCUAUAGACCGUUUUUGUUGUAGUGGCGUAGGCGUGGGAGAAGCCGAGAUAUGUGGGACAUUUAGAAGCAUUGAGACCAGGACGAUCCAAGCAGGCAAGUAAAAUAAGCAAUUCGAUCUGAUUCCGGUUCCUGGAUAUGUUGGCUAUCCAGUUUGUAAGUUUCUGCUGCCCUCUAAUUUCCACACUCUCCCUUUGCUUUCUUUCUCAUCCCUCUCUUUUUCUAUCUCAUUUUCUUUAUUCCCUCUCUUCACUUCUCUAUCCUUUCUCUCUCUCUCUUUCUUUUUUACCUCUUUCACUCUUUUCAUUUUCUCCCAUCUCUCUCCUCACUUUUAUUUGUGACACAACCAAAAGAAUAAUAUUUACUCCAUAAAAU
rnacentral:lncRNA from 1 species